rnacentral:rRNA from 1 species
GAUGAACGCUAGCUACAGGCUUAACACAUGCAAGUCGAGGGGUAACGAGAGGAAAGCUUGCUUUCCUUGUCGACGACCGGCGCACGGGUGAGUAACGCGUAUCCAACCUGCCCCCAACUAGGGAAUAACCUUGCGAAAGUAAGACUAAUACCCUAUAAUUUCCUCAGAUGACAUCUGACGAGGAAUAAAGAUUUAUUGGUUGUGGAUGGGGAUGCGUCUGAUUAGUUUGUUGGCGGGGUAACGGCCCACCAAGGCAACGAUCAGUAGGGGUUCUGAGAGGAAGGUCCCCCACAUUGGAACUGAGACACGGUCCAAACUCCUACGGGAGGCAGCAGUGAGGAAUAUUGGUCAAUGGGCGGAAGCCUGAACCAGCCAAGUAGCGUGCAGGAUGACGGCCCUAUGGGUUGUAAACUGCUUUUAUACAGGAAUAAAGUUAGCCACGUGUGGUUAUUUGUAGGUACUGUAUGAAUAAGGACCGGCUAAUUCCGUGCCAGCCGCCGCCGUAA